rnacentral:rRNA from 1 species
UACAGAGGGGGCGAGCGUUAUUCGGAAUUAUUGGGCGUAAGGGGCGCGUAGGCGGCCUUUCAAGUGACGGGUGAAAUCCCUCGGCUUAACCGAGGAACUGCCUGUCAGACUGGAAGGCUUGAGACCGGGAGAGGUGAGUGGAAUUCCCAGUGUAGCGGUGAAAUGCGUAGAUAUUGGGAGGAACACCAGUGGCGAAGGCGGCUCGCUGGAACGGUACUGACGCUGAGGCGCGAAAGCGUAGGGAGCGAACAGG